ensembl:lncRNA
AUAAAUUAUGUUAAGCACUUUUCAGAAUAGUAGUGAGGCAUAGGUGGUCUGUUUUUUCUGUAGCAUGUUGAAUGUACUGUUUUGUUUCUGUGAAGUUAAAACUGACAUGAGUGCAGCACAGUGACUAAAACAUAAUUUAUUUUCAUAAUGUUGUUUCCUACACGAGUCAAACAAAUAUUUGCUCAGGAUGUUUGGGUGAAAGUCAACGAUUUAUGGUUAUUUAUGGUUUUUUGGUUGUUGUUUUUUUUUUUUUAAGAGGUUUAUGUGUAAAAGAUGGAAGUAACUCCAUCAAAAUUUUGCAGAGUGCAUCUUGGUUUAUCGUACACGUCACAUUUGUUUUCAAUUGAGUUUGUUUCAGAGUAGGAAAGGCAUUUUUAAUCUGAGACAAUUACACUAAAUAGUGGGUUUGUAAUAACGUUAACAGUGAUGAGAGGAUCAAACAAACUGAAAUGAAUUGAUGGCUCGUUAUAACAUCACUUUGUUUCCUAAAGCAAACAGGAGGAAACAGAAAAGACACGCUUUCCUCGGCAGUUGAGGGUCAGAGGGUCAGAGCUGUAGGAGCCAAAGGUCAGCAUACUGUGGGACUCAUACUGUGAGAGCUUCCAGGAUCAGAAUUGGGUGUUGGCGUUCUUCGCAAAUUUGAAGUUUGUCAGGAGAGGAAGGUACAAACAGCUGCUGCUGGAAGCUGUCCAGACAUCUCCAGAGAGACGACCUUCAGAGGGAG